CGGCGACGUCAAUAGCCGCCUCCCUUCCGAGCGCCGCGCGCUGCCAAAAGACUAAUAUUAGUAUCUCCGGGAAAUAAUCUCUCUUUUUAUUGCGCAAGUUUCCCACAGAACGCCAUUCACGUUUUAUCAGAGGAUUUAAGAAAUGCGGAUGAAAUGCUAUAUAAGCUGGAUCCCCUCGGGAAAGGUUCUCAUUCGCCUCCUUUCCAGAGGCGAGCGAACGAGCGGCACCUUGGCGUCGAGCAAAGAGAGGAGGAGGAGGAAGAAAAAAAGGAGAGGAGGAGGAGGAAUUAAUUUUUACCCUCUGGGGGGGAAAAAAGAGAGGAUGCGAAGAGUCGGGCGGGAGUCUCGCUGUGAUUGGCGUUCAGUCGAGGAGCGAGCGGCGCAACAAAAACAGUUGAAAGAUGGCGGACUGUUUUGCGGACGCAAUGGCAGUGAGCUGACGGCCGCAUAAAUAAGGUAUGUGGCAACAUCUGGUCUUUGUAACCCGGCAAGCGUUUUAAUGCGACGCAUCGGCGGCGAGCACUCCCGCUCUCGCUUCCUUUUAGCGCGGAAUAAUCAACCGUCGUUGGGGAAUUCAAAAUCCCCCCCAUCUUCCUCCCAAGUUGUCACCCCAUUUAAGGAGACUUUCUUUCUUACUUAGUUGAUUUUAAAUUUUUAUACCUUAGGGAACACCGCCGUGUUUGUGUGUGCGUUGACAUCCAGCGCAAUUAAAAUUCACACGCUCUCGUCCCCAUUUGACUGCCACCCGGCCGACGCCCGAAAAGUUGUACAUUUCAACAAGUUUGUCUUGUUUUAUCUUGUUGGUAUUUGUAUGAUGUAAAGAUUCUUAUUUCUAUUUUGGGGCUGAAAGGUGACGUCAGGCCGGGCCUCUGCGAUGGUGGAGAAAAAUGAUCAUUCUGCCCAGCUUUCAAUAGCAGGAAAUGGCGAGAAACAAAAGACUUUCUAAGGCCACGGUGGGAUCCGAAAGCCGACGCCGGGUCACAGCUGCGGCUAAGAUGGCAUCUCAAAACACUUGGAUAGCUAUUAUUGGGUCAAAUCCAACUCGGGUUUUCAGCGGCUAACGGGCAGCACGUUGUAUCAUAUUAGCAUAAUGUUAGCGUCCUAAGCUAAUAACGUAGCAUUUCCUCCACUCCUGCAACUUUUGUCCUUGAUGCAUUUGAAAACGUGUUCUCUUUUACUAUUUUUUCUGGAAAAUGAUUCUCUGCUAUGAGCCAUCUGUCACUGCGUUGUCGUGAUCUCGGGAUCCGACCGCCUCGCCGCAACUUCCCCCGGCUGAGGAUCCCGCCAACUCCCAGUCGAGGAUCAUUUGGCCUUGGCGGAAAUCAAGUUUCACGUUGAGCCGUGAUGGACUGCAGGCCCGCCAGAAUCUGCAGCAGAGGUACUCGCUGAUGCUUUAUCUCCAGAUGAAGUCCAAUAAUGCAAUAAGCGCCCGCAGGUCAGCGCGACAUCGGCGGCGCCGCUCCUGGCCGAGUCCGCUCCUGGCCGUCUAACCAAAAGCCCUCGGGACUGUGCCCAAAUGCAACAGGAAGUCAAGCGGGAAGUGCCAUGUCACGAUAGACAUCUUCCUCCAACCGACCACACAAAGAAACCAAACCCACCAACAAUUCUGAGCAUAGGCCAGCCAAUAUUUUAUUUAUAUUUAACCUUACGCCAGGCUGUCAACCAGGGACACGUCUUAUUUCUUUUCUUUUCUUCCUUAUUACAAAAUGUCCGCUUUUGAUGGUCACGUUCUUGCAGUUACUCAGCAUGACGUGUUUGAGAAGCCUUUGUUGCAAGUGAAACAAGUUCAGCGCCUUUGUUCACCGUACACGUCAUUGUUAUCAUUGUGAGUGCUAAUAGCUGCUCUUGUCCCAUUAAUAUGUCAAUUAGGGAACAAUGUGCUCAGGGUGUCUGCACAAUUGACGCUGAAUGGAAUAUUUUGUUUCCAAAACUACACAGACAAGUCAUCAACAGGCACAAAAAUGUUUUUUUCCGACCGAGCUGGACGAAGCUGCUUGGGAGAGGGAAGUCACAGCUGAAGCUGCUGCCCUCGGAUAAGCGGUAGAAGAUGGAUGGGUUGAUAUUCUUUAAAACAUUUUUAAUACAAUUGUUCAAAUUUGGGCUUGAAUUCAUGUAUGUUUCAGCUGCCAUUGUUUAGUCAAGUGUCAUCCUUUUUGGCUUUCAGCGCACUCCCCUUUUCAAUUAGCGAGCGACUCAGUCCCCGUCCCGCCGACAAACAAAUAUCAAUAAAUAUCUGUCAAUACAAAUAAAGAGAGGUGAAGACGCUGACAAACAAGCCGAGCGGCGUCGAGGUGCUCUUGCUCAUUAUGUCUGUUUUGCCAGGGAUCAGACGUGUUUGCUCGGGCGGCGGCGGAGAAGGUUUAAGACGCGCAGAUGGCUCCAGCGCCAUGGCAAGCUCACUCAGGCCUGCAAAAAAGAAAAGAAGACACUCUCUGUGUCCAAGACAUUCCAUCGCAAGUCUGAUGACACGACCGCAAAGUCCAUCAUCGUUGUGACCAGCAAACAAGUCUAUUAAUGCAACCGUCCGUCCAUGUAUCAAUCAUUCUAUGUAUGUAUUGUA